AUGAACCGACCAGCAAGGAACUCAGCAGACAGGAGGCAAUGCUGGAUGGCAUCAGCCAGCCAGCGAGAUUGUUUUGAGGGCUCUCGCCUUGUGGUGUUCCGGGGGACCAGGGGAGGUCGUUCCGGAGUGAGCGGGCGAGAGGAGGAGCCCCAGAGGUCCCCACCUACCCAGCUGCCGGCGAUCCCGGAGGGUCGUGUCCUGGCCGUGGCAACCCUGGGGGGUCAGGCAAGCCCCUCCCAGAGUCCUGAGGUGCCCUCCUCAGCCAGCAGUCUCCCCAUGAAACGAGGGAGACGGUUUUCAUGGGAGUCAACUUCUGAGUCUUCGGCGUCCGAGACUGCCCUGCCCGAGACCAAACUCCCCCAACCCGCCUCUGACCCAGCUGUGGCCUCUGCACCGCGCCCAAGGAGGAAGAGGAGGAAGAGGGGGCCCGCCGGUCCUGUGACCCUGUCUCCUCCCGAGCCAGCAGCGGUGAGCGCUGGCGUGCCCGUGCCAGCAGUGGAGAGAGCUGGCGUGCCCGUGCCAGCAGCGGUGAGCGCUGGCGUGCCCGUGCCAGCAGCGGAGAGAGCUGGCGUGCCCGUGCCAGCGGCGGUGAGCGCUGGCGUGCCCGUGCCAGCAGCGGAGAGAGCUGGCGUGCCCGUGCCAGCAGCGGUGAGCGCUAGCGUGCCCGAGCCAGCAAAGAAGAGAGCUGCAGUCGUGAGAGCGGAGGAGAGAGCCGCGGCCGACUCUGCAGCAAAGACUCUUGUACAGUCGGUCUCUUCUCAGAAGGAGAUGCCUAUUAUCCUUGCUGCUAAAGCCUUUUCUGAUUAUUUGUCCCGUCUUGUCCAAAUUUUAGAAGUCCCCGUCAGUCCUGUUUUGUCCCCUGACCCUGUUCCCAGAAGUCCUAAGUGUCCAGCCGUUGUCUCCCCGUGUCCAGCCGUUGUCUCCCCGUGUCCAGCCGUUGUCCCCCCGUGUCCAGUAGAUGUCGUCUCCCCGCGUCCCGUAAGUCUUGCCCCGCGUCCCGUAAGUGUUGCCCCGCGUCCCUUGUCUGCUCCCGUCAUGCCCCCGGUCAGUUGUUCCGAGACCCCUCCCCGCCCCUCACCACCCAGACCUGCCCGUACCCCCCGUCGUCAGCCUUUGUCCUGUCCUCCUAAGAUUCCUACCCCACCCACUCACCCUGGUCUGCCCCCCAUGAACUUUGUGGUCCCGCCCCCUCCCCUUCCCUGUUUGUUUUUUUUGUUAUGUCACCCUAACCCUGCCAUUGUGUUUUCAUGUUUGCCUUUGUUAUUAUUAGUCAUGUCUUGUUGGUUUGUGUCUGUGUCCCAGUCAGUCAUGUCAGUCAUGUCCCGUGUUUGA
rnacentral:lncRNA from 1 species